AAACACCACAGCACUAUUACCACCAUUACCACCAAACAACACCAUUACUGCCAAACACCACAGCACUAUUACUACCAUUACCACCAAACACCACCAUUACUGCCAAACACCACAGCACUAUUACCACCAUUACCACCAAACACCACCAUUACCGCCAUUACCACCAAACACCACAGCACUAUUACCACCAUUACCACUAAAACCCCACCAUUACCACCAAACACCACCAUAACCACCAGACACCACCAUUACCACCAUUACCACCAAACACCACAUCACUAUUACUACCAUUACCACCAAACACCACCAUUACUGCCAAACACCACAGCACUAUUACCACCAUUACCACCAAACACCACCAUUACCACCAAACACCACCAUAACCAGCAGACACCACCAUUACCACCGAACACCACCAUAACACCACUAACACAACGCACACCUCAAACACCGCCGUUACCAUCACAAACACCAGUAACGCGGUUAACGGCUAACGAUCUUCACAUCGACGCUGUCCAGGUAAUGAACUGAUUAGUGAAAGUGUGUGCUGUUUAAAAUAAAUAAAAAUAAAUAAAUAUUUU
ensembl:lncRNA